rnacentral:rRNA from 1 species
GACGAACGCUGGCUGCGUGCUUAACACAUGCAAGUCGAACGGAAAGGCCCUGCUUUUUUUGGGUGCUCGAGUGGCGAACGGGUGAGUAACACGUGAUUAACCUGCCCUUGACUUUGGGAUAACUUCAGGAAACUGGGGCUAAUACCGGAUAGGAGCUCCUGCUGCAUGGUGGGGGUUGGAAAGUUUCGGCGGUUGGGGAUGGACUCGCGGCUUAUCAGCUUGGUGGUGGGGUAGUGGCUUACCAAGGCUUUGACGGGUAGCCGGCCUGAGAGGGUGACCGGCCACAUUGGGACUGAGAUACGGCCCAGACUCCUACGGGAGGCAGCAGUGGGGAAUAUUGCACAAUGGGCGGAAGCCUGAUGCAGCAACGCCGCGUGAGGGAUGACGGCCUUCGGGUUGUAAACCGCUUUCGCCUGUGACGAAGCGUGAGUGACGGUAAUGGGUAAAGAAGCACAGGCUAACUACGUG